rnacentral:piRNA from 1 species
ACCCCAGUUCUUUCCUGAUAGCUUGCCUCC